UGUGGAACUAUUCAAUCAGCCAUUUUUUACGGUUCUGGUUGUUGAAGGCCUAUUAUUAUUUGAAAUGUCCGAUUGUGUUUCAUAUCAUUGUAGGUAAAGCUCUCUACCGUCACGAUUACAAACACUCAAAAACGGAUACAUUCAUAUUAUUAAUAAUAUAAUUAAAAACACAAGGAUAAAAGAGUCAAUAUCAGACUGUCGAAAGUCAGAGACAUUUUGGUGAGCUGUGUAAAAUAAUAACAUUGAUCAUUUAAAUGAUAGUUGCACAAAUCAACAAUGCUAAUAACACUAUUAGGAAAAUAUAGGCUACUCAUGAUAACAAAAGUAAAAUGCUACUGCCAACAAUACUAUAGCUUACCUGAAAAAUAUAAAAACAUGAAUAAUAUAUAAGACAAUAAAUGCAAAUAUUUUACAUUGCUAUUAUUCAUCUAUAAAUUCGUUUUUGUUAACCACAUCCUGUUAAGCUUACUUCAUAAUGCGCAAUUCUUUCUCAAGAACUUCUGUAAAAGCAAUUCAUGUUCCCCACAACCUACAAUUUAAUGUCAAGAAAGCACCAUGUUCCUUUUGGCCAUUUGGUCAGUAGAGGAUACAUUACAGUUUGGUUAAAUGUUUGUUGUCUGCCCAAUGAUGUAAAUUUGUCGUUUGUGUUUUUCAUGUCUCUUCAUGAAUUUAUAAACUGACUGAGGGAAAUAUAGAACCACAGUUGGCAUUUGGAAUCCCAAGGGCGCUCUCAAAAUUAGCUGCAUCAUGUCUGCGCUUGCGCGACUCUGUGCGCCUUUGACCAUAAAAGGUCAACAUUUGUGUAUAACGAAUUCCAAUAAAGGUCUGAUAAGAUUGUAUAAACUUUUGUUGGCCAGUGUGAUCUUUCCAUAAUUAUCUUCGCAUGUAGUCAAUCACAUCAUCAGCACGUGCACCUGACGCUUCUUUGCUUGGUCUGCAGAAUGUGAAUGGAUGAGGGGGACUCUAUACACGCAUACCAUCAGUGCCUAUCACACGAAUAAAGUUUAUUAUUGGUGAACAUCUAAUUUUCACCUCAUUCUGUGUCAAUUAGAGCAAUUAAUUCAUUUUGUAGAACUAAAACUUAGGGCAUUCUAAGCGUUGUCCUUUUGUCCCAAGUUUUCUUAUGUUGAUAAUGAGUCUAGCGUGUUCUUUUCAUUUUAAAUAGGCCUAUAUAAAUAAAACAGGCCUACUAAAUAGGGACCAGUUAGGCCUAUAUGAUGCAUUCUUUACAAAUCCUCUUAUUAUGUGAAUAUGAGACUGCUUUUUUAAACCUCACAUUUCUUGUCUAUCUUUCGUAUUUCUAUUGGAUCAUAACAUGUUACCUAACCCUGAUUUAAAUUAAAUGGUUUGCACACGCGUAGUUUACAUUGCACUGUUUAAAUUAUAAUGUUGUUGUUUAUCAACGGCUACUAGGCUACCUCCUCACCCCUCCCUUUCUGCAUCCCGCUCUGCCUCCACUGUUGCGGGUGAGAGGCUACUAAUCCCAUGCCGUCCAUGGUUUACUCUGAGCCCGUAUUUAAUGCCUCUAAACCCCCAGCUGCCGCCCCGGUUACUCACUGAACACGACAGACUGUGAACCGCUCCGGUUAUUAAUAAUUCACCAGCCCUCGCGCUUCCCCGGCCGCGAUCCACUGCUGCGUCUCGCGACGCGCUAUUGGACAGUUUCAGCACUUUCCUCUUUUUUAGCUUUGAAUUUGUUUAGACUAUUCUUGACAACCAGUGCAACUCCACAAACGUUCCUCUUCUUGUUAUUAGUUUUAGACUUAUACGCGUGCGCGUGCUUGCGAAUCACCAGGCUGGCAUUUCAUGAUGGUAAAGUCUCGAAAACUCUGAUGUAGCAAACCUCCAUAGUUGUGGCAGUUGCAGGCUCCUUUUUCGCCCCGAAUUUCUCCAGCCACUGGAGAACAGGUGGAGAGGGACCAGGGAAUACCGGCUUUUUAAUCACGAAAAGCAGAGGAUUGGUAAGCUAUAGCGCUACAAAGUCCAUUUGAGGCACCAAGGAGCAACAGCUGAUUUGUGAGCGCGUAAGCAGAGACUACUUACUCUCGGUGCCCUUGCAUUGCGAGACUUCUGCUUUUUUACUCUGGUGCUGACAAGACCCAGUCACACCGCGAACGGCGCUGCUUCGCAGGACAUUGGGCAGCGGGGACAGCUAAGGACGGCACGCUGACAAGCGACCGCAGCACGUUCACAGUAUUGACACCGAGGAGGACUGUGUUGUUUUCAUGGAAUUAACAUGUGUUGACGGCAGACAUAAACUCCCCGAAUGAAAAAAAAAUAAGAACCUUGGAUAAUCCGUUUCCCGGUUGUGGAGAAGAGUUAGCCACAAUAUAUAAAAUGUUCCCCGGGCCACGGGUCGUACCAUAAGAGGGAUAUUUUGCUUCCGGUAUCAGAAGAAUCAGAAGAAACGGAGCGGUUAUCCCCCCCUCUCCCUCUCUCUCUCUCUUUUUCUCUCUCUCUCUCCUCUUUUGGAAGCUGAACUUUUUUGAAAGGAAAAUGGGUCUUUGAGACUGUUGGCACUUUUCCCUGCUCCACAAUGGCCACCGAAUCCUUCCUGGUGAACGAGGACCCCUCCAGAGGACCGGGGAUACCUGAGUGCUUUGUAGUUUCAGAUUCCUAUAGGUAUUACCCUACUCACCUUCUAAACAAUGCAUUAGUGGUAAGUCCGAACUAUUUAUUUGAUAGGUACAUAUUUUAUAUUUCUGAUGUGUGUAAUGUUGCGUUUGUUCUGGGCAGAGAUGAAAGGUCGUCAUUUGACCUCACUCUUUUGACUUCUAUUCAGAGAGGGAGAAAUGAUUAUUGUCUCAGUUUUGUUUGAACUUACUAAACUUACCAAUUGAUUCAUCGCUUGCACAUGCAUUUUCCAUACAAUAUAGGCAAGUACGAUGAACUAGGCCAGAGGUGGAAAAAUAUGCUGUAUGCAGUCAUUAGACUGGUUUAAAAUAGGCCUCAUCUUUUAUCCUCUUUCAUCCUCAUUUAACGCAUACUACAUACAUGGAAUGGAUUAAAUCUUUUGAGUUAUACUUCCCAGAAAACGGAAACAUGUAGGUGGGAGACAAAACAACUGAGAAAUUGUUAUAGAUCUUAAUUAGAUAUGCAGCCUGCGAUGGUGCGUAAGGCUGUGUAAUUAUUGGCCACUAUCGGCCGUUGCAGAAGUAAGAACAGUCAAAUGUAUUUGUUAAUUUAAUAUUCGAAAUGAAACAAGGGUUAACGUUAUUUGUUCUGUCUUGGCUCACUGUGCAGUUUAAUUUGAGUGUCUGCUAUAGAAUGGUUAUAGCCUUUUAGCCUAUGACCUAAUCUUUAUGCAUACCUAAUUAUCAAGCAACUACAUCUUUUUUUAUUGUGUAUGUUUUGAGAUUUAAUCUGUAGCUAUACAUUUUUGGUCCUUAAUGGGAGUUCAAGGUUGAACUGAGGUCAGUUUAUUGUGUGCCUCUCCAUUUAUAAGCUAAGUGAUUAUAUAUAUUGCGAUAGGCUAUGUUGCUCCAGCAAAAUAGAUUAAAUUUUCCUACUUCAUUAUCUAACCCAUAUUAGGAUGUUUUGUCUUGCAGUGUUUUGAGUAAAAAUAGUAUGCACGGUUCACAUAGAAUGGAAUGGAUUGCAAUGUUUUGUGUGAAAAUCCCAUUGAAUUAAUGGGAUCCUUGUUUGGGAUUAAUGUUUUCAAUUGAAAUGUCCCUUAUCAACGCAGUCUUAAAGCUCCACGUUCUCACUGAACACAUCCGUUUAUUACGUGAUGUGGCCUUUCAACCUUUCUCCUGCACACCCUCCCUCUCUCCCUCUUUCCUUCUCUCCCUCCCGGACUCCUCUCUCACUGUCCUCUA